UAGGGAAUCUUCGGCAAUGGACGAAAGUCUGACCGAGCAACGCCGCGUGAGUGAAGAAGGUUUUCGGAUUGUAAAACUCUGUUGUUAGAGAAGAACAAGGACGUUAGUAACUGAACGUCCCCUGACGGUAUCUAACCAGAAAGCCACGGCUAACUACGUGCCAGCAGCCGCGGUAAUACGUAGGUGGCAAGCGUUGUCCGGAUUUUUUGGGCGUAUAGCGAGCGCAGGCUGUUUCUUAAGUCUGAUGUGAAAGCCCCCGGCUCAACCGGGGAGGGUCAUUGGAAACUGGGAGACUUGGGUGCAGAAGAGGAGAGUGGGAUUCCAUGUGUAGCGAUUAAAUGCGUAGAUAUAUGGAGGAAAACCAGUGGCUAAGGCGGCUAUCUGGUAUGUAACUGACGCUGAGGCUCGAAAGCGUGGGGAGCAAACAGG
rnacentral:rRNA from 1 species